GUUUGUGUUUUUAUAAGAUGUAAUUAAUUUAAUGCUUUUAAUAAUCAAACCAUUGAUUUGUUCCCAAGUGCCAUGAUUUUGAAAGGUACCACUUAUUAAAACGUUAUUGUUCAAACAUUUGUUUUUACAGAGCCUCCUGCCUUCUGAAGUCCAGGCUCACGCCCAAACACGUUCAGUUUUAAACCCCAGCUCAGCGCAGGCAUGCGCCGAUAUUACACUUAUUCUCACCAGAACAACCGCCUUAACCUGCCGUCAAAACCCGACUACAACUCGAACGGCAGCGCCCGUGGCCUCCAGAUUGUCCAUCCGGUCGCACGCUCGAUCAUGCGCCAUCACCACAAGUAGUUCCGGUCGUGUUUGUGACUUUGUCCAGCGUUGCUGCUAUUCCCCGGUCCGUGCGAGUGUGGAAGCUAGAUGUCGGCACCACAGGACCCUGAAAGACCGGUUUUACCUUCUCGCCGAGGUCAGGGUCGUCCCGUGGCGUGAUGUUUUUAAUUAUCGCAAGUCCACAAAGGCUUGUAAAGCCGCCUUCUUCUGAAGUGUCCGAACUUGUCUGAUCGUUCACACGUGCUUUUGACUCUGGAAGUCGAGCUAAGACUGUUAAGUGAGAACGUGUUUCAAGUAUGAGGUGGGGUUCUUUUUUUUGGGGGGGGGGGUUGUUUUUUUGACCCUUUAAGGUUCACCCAUGGACCAAACACGAGUGUUUUAGCGUCUCUGUCCUUUCAGAAUCACGCUCUAAUUUAAUUCGGAAACAAACUUCCAACAAGCUGGCAGCGCUCCAGAUCAUAGUCAGUAUGCUCGCAUUUACCGCAAGUUCCGGGUUUCAUAUAUAUCUCGGCUCCCUAAAUAUCAAGACGCUUUCAACAUCCAAGCUUGAGCAAAUGUUGUUUUUUUUUUUCUUCUGCGUAACGCACCAUUAGCAGUGCGAUACGAGAUCAGUCAGUGAAGGACGUGAUAAAUUAGACGAACGAAGUAUCGAGAGCAGACAUGUGCCACAGUGUUUUAACAGUGCAAUAACUGCCUCACUUGCUGUCAUGGUUUACAUCUUUACAGUAUUGUAAGACAUGAAGAUGUAUACGACAGAUGUGUCUUCCACGCCGCAGCAAUAACGGAAACAAAGCCUCUCGCUGUUUAAGGUGUAAAACGUCCCUCACUGUUCUUCUCAAAAGUGAGCAUGUGCCAAUUAAACUUUCUUUUUACAUUUUAAAAAAAAAAUUUUUUAUGGAAGUAUUGUACUUUUCAUGAUGUCACACGAUUGCGUUCGAGAAAAUUUGCCUAAAAGAUUAUGUCUUCAGCGUGAACCGAAAGUUUGUGCCACUAAUAUUGAAAACGAACAAUUAUGGGCACAUGCCUUAAGAGAGCCUCGGGUUUAAAUUAGUUUCGGAAAGUAAGUUUGCUGCUAACUGAACACGCCUCUGCUGUUUUUUUUUUGUUUGUUUGUUUUUUGUGUUCGUUAUCUGUGAAACGCCUUCAUGGUCUCAAUUCUGAAGUGCGAGUGUGUGAAAUUUCAUUAGGAACAGAUAAUGCACCCAUCAUAACGCGUUCUUGUGCAUGCACAAGCCUUAGCUAGUGGCUAUGUUUAUAUUGUAUCGAGUGUCAAGGCAGUGGGUCUCGAGGCUAACGCUGUAUUCAACACACAGACGCACUACUGUAAUUCACUCGUAUAUCUGUGCCUGAGUGCCAGAGUGUGUGUGUGUGUUUAGGUGUUCAACUUUUCCACUGACAAUGCCACGGUUAUUAUGCAAAUGUGCUGCAGUGUGUGAAAAUGUUAUCCACAAAAUGGGUUUUUGUUUUAUUAGGGGGAAAAAAAAAAAAAAAAAAAGAGACAAAGAAAGGACUAAUCAGAUAUGUUUCCCGGAAAAAAUCCAGGAUGUUGAUUAUGUAGAAUUAUGCAACCUGCACAAAAGACUAAAUCUAAUUUAGUGCCUUUUUUUUUGUUUGUUUGUUUUGUUUUUAUUGUAAUUUUGUAUGUAGAUGUUUUAAACGUUACAUUUCCUGACUCAUGAUGCUGUAAUCUUACUAAACAGGUUCCAAGCUGCAGAACGGUGACCCUGCCCUCCAUGUACAGUUUAAUAAUCUCUGCUUCCUCACUCCUUUUCAGCCUGUCAAUAAACUAC
ensembl:lncRNA